GCAGGUGUAGUUCAACGGCAGAAUGCCAGACUUCCAAUCUGACGAUGAGGGUUCGAUUCCCUUCACCUGCU